GGGAUACCACUUGGAAACAGGUGCUAAUACCGAAUAACAACAAUAACUGCAUGGCUAUUGCUUAAAAGGCGGCGAAAGCUGUCGUUAAAGGAUGGACCCGCGGUGCAUUAGCUAGUUGGUAAGGUAAUGGCUUACCAAGGCGACGAUGCAUAGCCGAGUUGAGAGACUGAUCGGCCACAUUGGGACUGAGACACGGCCCAAACUCCUACGGGAGGCAGCAGUAGGGAAUCUUCCACAAUGGGCGAAAGCCUGAUGGAGCAACGCCGCGUGAGUGAAGAAGGUUUUCGGAUCGUAAAGCUCUGUUGUUGGUGAAGAAGGAUAGAGGUAGUAACUGGCCCCUAUUUGACGGUAAUCAACCAGAAAGUCACGGCUAACUACGUGCCAGCAGCCGCGGUAAUACGUAGGUGGCAAGCGUUGUCCGGAUUUAUUGGGCGUAAAGCGAGCGCAGGCGGAAAGAUAAGUCUGAUGUGAAAGCCCCCGGCUUAACCGAGGAAUUGCAUCGGAAACUGUGUUUCUUGAGUGCAGAAGAGGAGAGUGGAACUCCAUGUGUAGCGGUGGAAUGCGUAGAUAUAUGGAAGAACACCAGUGGCGAAGGCGGCUCUCUGGUCUGUAACUGACGCUGAGGCUCGAAAGCAUGGGUAGCGAACAGGAUUAGAUACCCUGGUAGUCCAUGCCGUAAACGAUGAGUGAUAAGUGUUGGGA
rnacentral:rRNA from 1 species